rnacentral:rRNA from 1 species
AGAACGAACGCUGGCGGCAUGCCUAAUACAUGCAAGUCGAACGAAGGCUUCGGCCUUAGUGGCGCACGGGUGUGUAACGCGUGGGAAUCUGCCCCUUGGUUCGGAAUAACAGUUGGAAACGACUGCUAAUACCGGAUGAUGACGAAAGUCCAAAGAUUUAUCGCCAAGGGAUGAGCCCGCGUAGGAUUAGCUAGUUGGUGAGGUAAAGGCUCACCAAGGCGACGAUCCUUAGCUGGUCUGAGAGGAUGAUCAGCCACACUGGGACUGAGACACGGCCCAGACUCCUACGGGAGGCAGCAGUAGGGAAUAUUGGACAAUGGGCGAAAGCCUGAUCCAGCAAUGCCGCGUGAGUGAUGAAGGCCUUAGGUUGUAAAGCUCUUUUACCCGAGAUGAUAAUGACAGUAUCGGAGAAUAAGCCCCGGCUAACGUCCGCGCCAACACGCCGC